GUCUCCUCCUCUCUGAGCUGAACUCAUAACUAAUGUUCUUCCUGUCAGUCACUGCAGAGACGAAGACCAAGAUAAAGACAUGAUCAGAAACCUCAGCAGGAUCGUUCUUCUGCUUCUCUGCUUCUCCUAUGUUUCGCUGAGCAACAAAGUCCAUCAGGAUCCACCAUCAAUAUUAAGAAGUCCUCAGGGUUCUGCAGCCAUUCAAUCGCUUCUUUCACCACAACGUUGUGGUACCAGAAGCCGAUGAAUGACUCUGCUCUUAAACUGAUUGGAUACAUCGUGUUAUCCAGCCCAACCCUUCAGGAUGAAUUCAACAAACAUUUCAGUCUGAGUGGAGACGGUUCAAAGAAAUCUGAGCUUCAUGUGCAGAAACUCAACACAGAAGACAGCAGCAUUUAUUACUGUGCAGCUAGCAGCCACAGUGACUCAGUUACUGUCUCAUCUGUACAAAAACCCUCUGAUAAUCCAACACUGAAGAAAAACACACCUGCAUCUAACAAAUCAGCAGAGAUCUCAGCUUUAAAACCUCUUCCUGUGUUAACCCACACAGCAGGAUGCUGUACACAUCCACUGAUGAAAUGUGAUGCCCCGUGAUGCUGAUCCCUCCUCCUCCUUUACAUCCAGGCAGCUCUGUUCAGUCUUCUCAUCAUCAUAGUUUUGUUUUCUUCUGCACUGGGAUCAUGAUCCAACUCUUUGUUCUCUCAGCAGUUCUGCCGCUCUGUUUAACAGAACUCUCUAAAAACAGCGUUUAUCAGACUCCCAUCGCUGUGAUCGAAGAUCCUGGAGAAGAGAUCCAGAUAAACUGCAGCCAUUCAAACAAUAAUUUUGAUCUGAUCCAGUGGUACAAACAGUCUCCUGGGAAAACUGAUAUGGUUCUGAUUGGUUAUGCUCGUUAUGACUCUCCAGUUGUUGAAGAUCCAUUUAAAAGCUACUUUAAUGUGACUGGUCAUGGCAGCAGUCUGUCAUCUCUGGUUAUUCCGAAGCUGAGACAGUCUGUGGACAGCGGUGUGUAUUU